rnacentral:lncRNA from 1 species
GGGACUUGACGAUGGCGCCUGCUCGUUCCUGUUGUGUUCUAUCUGAGGCAUGAUUUUCUUUCGUUUUUGGGAGGUAGAGAGCACGGGGCAGAGGUUGCACCUGACACAUUAGAACUCCGUUGUCACUGCUGUGGCUGUUAUUCCCCUCGGCAAGAGCCAAGGAGCAAACAGGACGGCAAAGAUGGGCUGUCUGGAAAGCUGGACUCAGCCUGGAGCAUGUUCCCCAGAUUGCUAUUUUGUGAAGGCUUCCGCAUACAAAUGACUCAGAUCCAAACAUUCAAAAAUGAUCUUGGAGGGCCAUCUGGUUCUUGCUGGUUCUAAAAGCUUCCUUCAGCCUGGAGUAUGGAUCCAGUACAAAAGAUAGUGAGAGCUGUUCAUUGAGGUUUAACAUGUUCCACUGACCGAGGCUAGAAGCUGGCUUUAAAAAAUAGCCAACACUGAUGCUCCAAGGGCCAAUUGCUGAUGCUUGUCACAGUGAAGAUCCCGGUGUUACACAUCCAAUCGUUCACCUCCUUCCAAGACUAUGACAUUCCAGGAAACCUUCACUGCUAAGAGGAACUAAGAUCUAGAGUAUCUCCUCGAGGAAGUACAACUGGAUUCUCCCUCCUUGGUUCUUCCCUGGACCAAGGACAGAAGAAUCAUUCAACACAGAGGCUAUUGACAAAAGGGGCAUAUUUGGUGCAAACAGGGGUAAUUAAUAAGAAGUCCAGUGGCUCACACCUGCGAUCCCAGCACUUUGGGAGGCUGAGAUGGGCAGAUUGCUCGAGCCCAGGAAUUCAAGACCAACCUGGGCAACAUGGCAAAACCCCAUCUCUACAAAAAUACAAAAAUUAACCAGAUGUGAUGGUUCAUGCCUGUAGUCCCAGCUACUCUGGAGGCUGAUGUGGGAGGAUCGCUUGAGCCUAGGAAGUCAAGGCUGCAGUGAGUCAUGAUUGCUCCGCUCCACUGCACUCUGGCCUUGAUGAUAGAGUGAGAACCAGUCUCAAAAAAAAAAAGGUCAUUUUCUAAGCAUUUGUUGAUUCAAUACUGCCCACUAUGUACACUGACAAUUAGACAUAAUUUAAUUUCAGCUCAUGGUAUGAAUGGAGACAAAAUGAAAUCAUUUUAAUGCACAUUAAGGCAAUAUAGUGCCCUUAAAUAAAAAGUUGAAGUUCAUAAGGGACCAUCAUUAAGAUUUAACUUUGUAACAAAUAUUUUGUUUUUGUUUGUUUUAUUUUUAGAUUUGCAUAAUAAAACAUUCAUAUUCUUA